GACGUAGGAGACGAGCGUUGUCCGGGAUUUACUGGGCGUAAAGCGCGCGCAGGCGGCCCCGCAGGUCGGUUGUGAAAGCCCCCGGCUCAACCGGGUGGAGGCGAGCGAAACCGCGGGGCUGGAGGCUGGCAGAGGGUGGUGGAAUUCCCGGUGUAGUGGUGAAAUGCGUAGAGAUGGGAGGAACACCCGCGGGCGAAGGACG
rnacentral:rRNA from 1 species